rnacentral:rRNA from 1 species
UAGGGAAUCUUCCGCAAUGGACGAAAGUCUGACGUAGCGACGCCGCGUGAGCGAAGAAGGUCUUCGGAUCGUAAAGCUCUGUUGUUAGGGAAGAAGAAGUGCCGUUCGAACAGGGCGGCGCGGUGACGGUACCUAACGAGAAAGCCCCGGCUAACUACGUGCCAGCAGCCGCGGUAAUACGAAGGGGGCGAGCGUUGUCCGGAAUUAUUGGGCGUAAAGCGCGCGCAGGCGGUCCCUUAAGUCUGAUGUGAAAGACCACGGCUUAACCGUGGAGGGUCAUUGGAAACUGGGGGACUUGAGUGCAGAAGAGGAGAGCGGAAUUCCACGUGUAGCGGUGAAAUGCGUAGAGAUGUGGAGGAACACCAGUAGCGAAGGCGGCUCUCUGGUCUGUAACUGACGCUGAGGCGCGAAAGCGUGGGGAGCAAACAGG